UCCGUAGGCGGAUUAUUAAGUCAGUGGUGAAAGUUUGCGGCUCAACCGUAAAAGUGCCAUUGAUACUGGUAGUCUUGAGUACAGUAGAGGUAGGCGGAAUUUAUGGUGUAGCGGUGAAAUGCAUAGAUACCAUAAAGAACACCGAUAGCGAAGGCAGCUUACUAUACUGAGACUGACGCUGAGGCACGAAAGCGUGGGGAGCGAACAGGAUUAGAUACCCUGGUAGUCC
rnacentral:rRNA from 1 species